rnacentral:rRNA from 1 species
AGAGUUUUGAUCCUGGCUCAGGACGACGCUGGCGGCGUGCUUAACACAUGCAAGUCGAGCGGUAAGGCCCUUCGGGGUACACGAGCGGCGAACGGGUGAGUAACACGUGAGCAACCUGCCCCUGACUCCGGGAUAAGCGGUGGAAACGCCGUCUAAUACCGGAUACGACCCCCGGGUGCAUGCCCGAGGGUGGAAAGUUUUUUCGGUCAGGGAUGGGCUCGCGGCCUAUCAGCUUGUUGGUGGGGUAAAGGCCUACCAAGGCGAUUACGGGUAGCCGGCCUGAGAGGGCGACCGGUCACACUGGGGCUGAGACACGGCCCAGACUCCUGCGGGAGGCAGCAGUGGGGAAUCUUGCGCAAUGGGCGAAAGCCUGACGCAGCGACGCCGCGUGGGGGAUGACGGCCUUCGGGUUGUAAACCUCUUUUACCACUCACGCAGGCCCGGGGUUUUCUCCGGGUUGACGGUAGGUGGGGAAUAAGGACCGGCUAACUACGUG